UACAGAGGUCUCAAGCGUUGUUCGGAUUCAUUGGGCGUAAAGGGUGCGUAGGUGGCGCCGUAAGUCAGGUGUGAAAUCUCGGGGCUUAACUCCGAAACUGCAUUUGAUACUGCGGUGCUUGAGGACUGGAGAGGAGACUGGAAUUUACGGUGUAGCAGUGAAAAUGCGUAGAGAUCGUAAGGAAGACCAGUGGCGAAGGCGGGUCUCUGGACAGUUCCUGACAC
rnacentral:rRNA from 1 species